rnacentral:rRNA from 1 species
UUGCUCUUCAACGAGGAAUUCCUAGUAAGCGUGAGUCAUCAGCUCGCGUUGAUUACGUCCCUGCCCUUUGUACACACCGCCCGUCGCUACUACCGAUUGAAUGGCUUAGUGAGAUCUUGGGAUUGGCUUCGGGGAGCCGGCAACGGCACCCUGGAGCUGAGAACUUGAUCAAACUUGGUCAUUUAGAGGAAGUAAAAGUCGUAACAAGGUUUCCGUAGGUGAACCUGCGGAAGGAUCAUUAUCGAGUUUUGAAAGGGGUUGUAGCUGGCCUUUCGGGGCAUGUGCACGCCUCGCUCAUUCCAACUCUAACACCUGUGAACUAGCUGUAGGUCGGUUUUGAAGUGAGCUCUAACGGGCGAGCUUUGGGCCUUCCUAUGUCUUUAACAAACUCUUGUUGUAUCAGAAUGUAUUCGCGCUUUAUAAACGCAUCAAUAUAACUUUCAGCAACGGAUCUCUUGGCUCUCGCAUCGAUGAAGAACGCAGCGAAAUGCGAUAAGUAAUGUGAAUUGCAGAAUUCAGUGAAUCAUCGAAUCUUUGAACGCAUCUUGCGCCCUUUGGUAUUCCGAAGGGCAUGCCCGUUUGAGUGUCAUUGUAUUCUCAAAUCCCUUCAUUUUGUGAAGUCGAUUUGGAGUUGGGGGUCUUUUGCAGGUGAACUUGUUCGUCCUGCUCCCCUUGAAUGCAUUAGCUGGAACCUUUUGCUAGACCGGCUUUGGUGUGAUAAUUAUCUGCGCCAUGGCCGUAAGGCGACUUUGUAAAGGAUCUGCUUAUAAUCGUCCUAUGGACACUUUCUGACAUCUGACCUCAAAUCGGGUAGGACUACCCGCUGAACUUAAGCAUAUCAAUAAGCGGAGG